GCAGGACAUGCAUUCCUCACACCAUACUUUUUGAAGGGGAUGAGGUAAACCUGGCCAAGCCGGUUAGUGCUGGGGUGGAGCCCAGCCACGGCCCUGAUCCAGAGGCUCUGUUACCUGGGGCAGCAGAAGUGAAUGAGAAGACAGCUGUAAAUCAUGUCCGGCCUGCUGAUGACAUUCUCCUCUCUCAGCUAAAGGACUGAGGAUGGCUUUUCUGUGCCAGCCUGGGCCUGCUGAGCUGACCGUGUUUGAAGGGCUGGUCGUGGGCUAAGCUAGGCAAGCUGAGAUCAGUCCUGCAGGAACCUGAGGUCAUCACAGGAUGUGAAGACAGAGGUCAGGAGCUUGUGGGACCAGGAAUGAGGGAGAUCGAAAUGACCUUGAUAGCUACAAGUGGAGAUGGAUCUUUGAGCUAUCAGAUGAAAGGCUGUCUCGCAGACCCAUGCUGGAUUUUACAUAAAUAAGAAAUGUAAGUAUAACUUUGUUGUGCUAAGUCACUGAGCUUUUCGGGUUUGUUUGUU
rnacentral:lncRNA from 1 species